UACGUAGGGGGCAAGCGUUGUUCGGAAUUACUGGGCGUAAAGGGCGCGUAGGCGGCACGGCAAGUCAGGAGUGAAAGCCCUGGGCUCAACCCGGGAACUGCUUUUGAAACUGCCGAGCUAGAGUGCGGAAGGGGCAACUGGAAUUCCCAGUGUAGCGGUGAAAUGCGUAGAUAUUGGGAAGAACACCUGAGGCGAAGGCGGGUUGCUGGGCCGACACUGACGCUGAUGCGCGAAAGCCAGGGGAGCGAACGGG
rnacentral:rRNA from 2 species